CCUCUAGCAAUAUUAACUUCAAGUGCACAGAAGUUUUCAGCUUAUAAAGUAAUACACAUACUCCACACAGGAUAGUGCUCCAAAUUACCUAGGCACAGCAUAGGUUCAUUUGAACUUAGAAGCCUUUGAGGACUUCGGAACACAGAUUUAUCCUCCACAUACAAUUAACCAAAUUCACAUGGCACUACUGCAAAAAUUACUUACGUUCCUUAUUAAUCAGAGAUUAAAAGCCUUAAAACCAUGCCUCCAACAUUAUCAGAAGAGAAAAAGCAACACACUCCUGAAGUUUUUAUGCUUGUAGGAACUGAGGAAUGGAUAUUCAUUUACAUACAGUUAUCAGAUAGAUAGAGGAAGUUGAUACCUAUAGAUCUUUGUUAUAAAUACAUAUCGCAAGAAAUAAAUCUCUAAAAAAAGCAUGGUCAUUUCUCUGCUGCAGCCCAAACCCCUUUAGAAUAUACCUACUAUUGGGCAACAAUUCUUAAAUUAUUGAACUCUGUCAAAGUCAUCCUUUUCUCUCUAAUUCAGAGAUGGGCAGCACUAGGUGGCAACAUGGCAGACUUAGAGAAAGGUUUCCUCACAUGUAAGGAGAAAGGACAUUCACACAGGCAAUUCACCAGCAGGAAGCGUAAUCAGCCAAGGGAGAUAAUGUCAGUUCAGCCACUGAGGAGUUGUUAAGUUGGAGAGAUUUAAAAUAAUGCAGCUAUUGUGUACACCAUCUUACUGGCAGAGGCGCUGCACUCUCUGUAAAAAAUUAAAAAAAAAAUCUGAAAAGUAACACUGUGUAAAAUGAAAUCUUGUCAUUAUUUUGAGAACUGUAUCUACCAUGGUACUGGAAGAAUUAACAAGCCAAGCAAUAAAGAUUCUAGAACAUAAACUGUUUAAAACA
rnacentral:lncRNA from 1 species